GUGCUCGUUUCUGUAGCGCAUAUACAAAAACUGGAUGUAGAGAGAUAAUUAGCAUGGCCCUGCACAAGGGUGACAUGAAAAUUGGUAAAGUGUUCCAUAUUUUU